rnacentral:rRNA from 1 species
UCUGGUUGAUCCUGCCAGUCGUCAUAUGCUUGUUUCAAGGACUAAGCCAUGCAAGUGUGAGAGUACUCGGGACUUGUCUCGAGAGGUCUGUGUACGGCUCAUUAAACGGUUUAUUGUCUACCCAACGAAGGAUGUGCAUUUGCCACCCCAACGGGAUUACUUUGCUAACUGCAAAGCUAAUACCUGUAAGAAGAACCUCGUACCUUCAAAACAGUGAGGUGACCUCGGUUGCCUUUCUGUGGUUCGAGGUGCGCUUCGCCGAAACAAAAACCAACGCCGAUCUUUCGGCAGCUACUACUGUUGAGGCAGGCGAAUGUCGCGAAAGCGUCCGCAUGGACGCGUUGUUGGACGAAUUUACCACCUAUCAGGUUGAAGGUAGUAUAGUUGACUACCUUGCCCUUGACGGGUAACGGGGAAUUGGGGUUCGAUUCCGGAGAGGGUGCUUGAGAAAUGGCAACCAUGACUACGGUCAGCAGCAGGCGCGCAAAUUGCCCAAUGCCAAUACCUGGCGAGGCAGCGACGAAAAAUAAUAACUUUGAUGCACAUACGUGUGUCAGAGAUUGCAAUGGACUGUAUCCAGAAACACUGAUGAGUAUCAAUUGGAGGGCAAGUCUGGUGCCAGCAGCCGCGGUAAUUCCAGCUCCAAGAGCGUAUAUAAAUGUUGUUGCGGUUAAAAAGCCCGUAGUUGGAUUUGAGAAUAUCGCCUGUGAGUUCAGCUCCAUUUGGGGUUCGCUUCAUUUGGAACCCUGAUCUCACGUUUCGACGAUAUUCUGUUCGAUGCGGGAAUGGACACCUGCUGAUAGCUUCUUCGGAAGUGUGUAGGCAAUCUCGGAGUCUUUACGCUCCAAAGGUGCGCCCGCAGUCGUCACUGUGAGUAAAUCAGAGUGUUCAAGGCAACUAUUUGUUUAGUUGAAUGUUAAAGCAUGGAAUGACAAGGGAUCGACCACUGAUGGCCUCUUUUUGUUGGUUUUUAACCACCAGUGAGGCAAACUUGUGGGGAUGGCUUCCUUCACUGGGUCUUCGGAUUUGGUGUUGGACCUCUUCACGCACGGUAUCAAUAGGAGCACAGGGGGCCGUGAGUACUGGAGGGUGAGUGGUGAAAUACUGAGACCCCUCCAAGACUGACAUCAGCGAAAGCACUCGGCUAUUGUGCUUUCAUUAAUCAAGGACGAGAGAUAGGGGAUCGAAGAGGAUUAGACACCCUCGUAGUCCUUUCCUUAAAUUCUGCAGACUUGGGAUCGGUCAGCGUCCAUCAUAUCGACCUGAUCGGCACCUUCCUUCCCUACCGAGAAAUCAAAGUCUUUGUGUUCCGGGGGGAGUACAUUCGCAAGGCUGAAACUUAAAGGAAUUGACGGAGAACCACCACCAGUCGUGGAUUGUGUGGCUUAAUUCGACUCAACACGGGAAAUUUUUACCAGCACAGGACAGGGUCAGGAUUGCCAAGU